rnacentral:rRNA from 1 species
UGGGGAAUAUUGCACAAUGGGCGCAAGCCUGAUGCAGCCAUGCCGCGUGUGUGAAGAAGGCCUUCGGGUUGUAAAGCACUUUCAGCGGGGAGGAAGGCGGUGAGGUUAAUAACCUCACCGAUUGACGUUACCCGCAGAAGAAGCACCGGCUAACUCCGUGCCAGCAGCCGCGGUAAUACGGAGGGUGCAAGCGUUAAUCGGAAUUACUGGGCGUAAAGCGCACGCAGGCGGUCUGUCAAGUCGGAUGUGAAAUCCCCGGGCUCAACCUGGGAACUGCAUUCGAAACUGGCAGGCUAGAGUCCUGGAGAGGGGGGUAGAAUUCCAGGUGUAGCGGUGAAAUGCGUAGAGAUCUGGAGGAAUACCGGUGGCGAAGGCGGCCCCCUGGACAAAGACUGACGCUCAGGUGCGAAAGCGUGGGGAGCAAACAGG